rnacentral:rRNA from 1 species
GCUCUCGGGUGACGAGCGGCGGACGGGUGAGUAAUGUCUGGGAAACUGCCUGAUGGAGGGGGAUAACUACUGGAAACGGUAGCUAAUACCGCAUAACGUCGCAAGACCAAAGUGGGGGACCUUCGGGCCUCAUGCCAUCAGAUGUGCCCAGAUGGGAUUAGCUAGUAGGUGGGGUAACGGCUCACCUAGGCGACGAUCCCUAGCUGGUCUGAGAGGAUGACCAGCCACACUGGAACUGAGACACGGUCCAGACUCCUACGGGAGGCAGCAGUGGGGAAUAUUGCACAAUGGGCGCAAGCCUGAUGCAGCCAUGCCGCGUGUGUGAAGAAGGCCUUCGGGUUGUAAAGCACUUUCAGCGGGGAGGAAGGCGUUAAGGUUAAUAACCUUGGCGAUUGACGUUACCCGCAGAAGAAGCACCGGCUAACUCCGUGCCAGCAGCCGCGGUAAUACGGAGGGUGCAAGCGUUAAUCGGAAUUACUGGGCGUAAAGCGCACGCAGGCGGUCUGUCAAGUCGGAUGUGAAAUCCCCGGGCUCAACCUGGGAACUGCAUUCGAAACUGGCAGGCUAGAGUCUUGUAGAGGGGGGUAGAAUUCCAGGUGUAGCGGUGAAAUGCGUAGAGAUCUGGAGGAAUACCGGUGGCGAAGGCGGCCCCCUGGACAAAGACUGACGCUCAGGUGCGAAAGCGUGGGGAGCAAACAGGAUUAGAUACCCUGGUAGUCCACGCCGUAAACGAUGUCGAUUUGGAGGUUGUGCCCUUGAGGCGUGGCUUCCGGAGCUAACGCGUUAAAUCGACCGCCUGGGGAGUACGGCCGCAAGGUUAAAACUCAAAUGAAUUGACGGGGGCCCGCACAAGCGGUGGAGCAUGUGGUUUAAUUCGAUGCAACGCGAAGAACCUUACCUGGUCUUGACAUCCACAGAACUUUCCAGAGAUGGAUUGGUGCCUUCGGGAACUGUGAGACAGGUGCUGCAUGGCUGUCGUCAGCUCGUGUUGUGAAAUGUUGGGUUAAGUCCCGCAACGAGCGCAACCCUUAUCCUUUGUUGCCAGCGGUUAGGCCGGGAACUCAAAGGAGACUGCCAGUGAUAAACUGGAGGAAGGUGGGGAUGACGUCAAGUCAUCAUGGCCCUUACGACCAGGGCUACACACGUGCUACAAUGGCAUAUACAAAGAGAAGCGACCUCGCGAGAGCAAGCGGACCUCAUAAAGUAUGUCGUAGUCCGGAUUGGAGUCUGCAACUCGACUCCAUGAAGUCGGAAUCGCUAGUAAUCGUAGAUCAGAAUGCUACGGUGAAUACGUUCCCGGGCCUUGUACACACCGCCCGUCACACCAUGGGAGUGGGUUGCAAAAGAAGU